rnacentral:misc_RNA from 1 species
AACGCACAUUGCGCCCUCUGGUAUUCCGGGGGGCAUGCCUGUUCGAGCGUCAUUACAACCCUCAAGCUCUGCUUGGUAUUGGGCACUGCAGAUUUCUGCAGGCCUUAAAAUCAGUGGCGGUGCCAUUCGGCUUCAAGCGUAGUAAUUCUUCUCGCUUUGGAGACCCGAGUGGUUACUAGCCAACAACCCCCAAUUUUUUCAGGUUGACCUCGGAUCAGGUAGGGAUACCCGCUGAACUUAA